UUUUUUUUUUUUUUUUUUUUUUUUUUUUUUUUUAAAUUAUCAUUAAUUAUGUAUUGUUAAUUUGAACAAUUCAGGCUUUACUUUGUCUCUCCUUGCAAGAUAAAUUUUUUUUUUUUUUUCUGGUGUUCUGUUCAAAAAGUAUUAAUUUUCUUGUUUUUGGACAAUGAAAAAAAUCUUGUUGAAUAUAUUUUUGUACAUCUUUUUUCAUUCCACUCUUCCUUGAUGCAAUAAACACCUCUAUAAGUGUUACCAAACCAAACUUCCUUGUAAAUAAACAUAUCUCAUAGCAAUUUUAUGGAUAGUUUUGUCAUAAAAUAGUAUUAAAUAACAAAUUAUUGUACAUUUUUUAAAGAAUAUACCUAUCACUUUUUUUUUUUUUAUUUUGUACUGGUUUACUGUUAUCACUUUAGUUGAACGCAAAUAGAACAAAAGACUGAAAACAAAUAUUAUAAAUACUUGUUUGAAGGAAUGUUUUGUUCAUAUUGUAAAUGAACAAGUUGUCUUCAGUUGUAAAAUAUAUUUAUAAAGCACAAUUUCGUUAAAGACCACACAUUAGGUAAUUCUUUGUUAAUUAAAAUUUGGUUUGUUUAUAAUUAUUAUUAUUUUUUAUUUUAUUUUUUUUAAUUAUUACAUGUAGUAGAACAUCGAUGCAAUAUAGGUCACUUGAGAUACUCUGGAUUUAUCAAAUUUAUGUUACAAAAAAAGUAAAAGUUGACUUAUUCUGUAAUUGCUCUUUAAGGCUCUUUUUCUUCCCUCUAAAUUAAAGAACAGUAUUAAGUGUCUUCUUGUGUAGAUACAAUAUUCAUUUAAUUCAGAGAUAGCGGUUGUUAUCAUUUCUAGUGUGACUUUUGUUAAAUAGUAUCAUUAGUGCUGCUUAUUAGAAAUGUCAAAAACAUUUUCAGGAACUUGACAUACUUCUAGUGUGACAUUAUAUAGCAAGAUCUUGCCUAUUAAAGAAAUUAGGCAACAUUUAAAGCAACAACAUUUCUGCCAAGUAUUUAUGCUAAGAUAGAUAAAAGCUGUAAAUGGUAAUUAUAUUCAUUAACUUGUCAGACAAUUGAUAAACACAGAUUUUAGUGUACUGUUUUAUCUUUCCAACAUUGUGAUUGCUUAGUUUUAUGUGACAUUGAGUGCACUACUACACUGUCCCAGACUGUUCAUGUCAUAAGAAAUUGAGACUUUACUGCAUCUUAUUUUUUUCUGAUUCAACCUGUUCUUCUCUUGAAUGGUGGUGAACAAAAAGUUUUUUUUUUUUUUUUUUUUUUUUGUAGUUUGUCCUAGGGUGUGAAAUAAAACUAUUUGUAUUCCGAUUUUUUUUUAAUUAGGUUAUGUUAAGUUAGAAUAAAUAUUUCAAGUUAAUGACAAUUAGGAAUAAGUCUUAUGUUGUUGUUUUUUACUUGCAGACUUUAAAGUUAGACUUUUAGAAUUGGCUUUUUGAAUACUAUUAAGUUUUUAUAACAAUUUAUUCAUUAGUACUAGGUCAUUAAUAGCAGUGACAUUAUGAUUUGUUUAUAUUAUCCUUUUGUAAUAUGUGAACCAAUAUUUGUAUGUGGAAAAUGUUUUUCUGUCAUCUUGUGUUUUUCCCCUUCAAUACUCUGAUACAUUUUUUUUGUUACUUUACUCAUUGUUAUGAUGAUAUGAUAGUUUUUUCUUUUUUAUAUUUACAAAUGUUGUUGUCAGUUUAAACAGAAUAUGAUUUCUUCAAACUGACCACUAUUUUAUCUAUAAUAAUUGUUUUUUAAGGCUGUGUUAAUGUUUUAUAUGCAAUGUAUUGUACUGUUAAAACUAUUUUUUCCUUUUUUUUUUUUUAAAGACAUUGUUAAUUUCCAAAGACUAGCCUUGAUAUUGAAGAAAAUAAAAUGAUUUUGUUUUCUCAGUCACUAGACCUGUUCACUGAUCUAAUUCUACAUAGAACUUUUCUACCAAUAAAUGUGGUAUUUGUAGCCCUCAUGGAAGGUUUCUAUGAAGACAAGAUAAACUUCCUGGUAAUGACACGCUCUUCUAAAAGGAAAUACUUGUUUUGUGAUUUUCCACAGGUAAUAGUUAAUACUUUGAAAUAAAUUGAUUAUUCAGCCAGUACAUAUAGUAAAGACUGUCAUUAUAGAUAGGCCUUUAGUCAAUAAAGUGAUAGCUUGUAGUUUUUUUGUUUUUUUUUAUCUUCAGAUUUGUCAUUGCCCCUUCAACCCCCUCUUUGUUUACAAUCCAGAAAAGUGAAAUAAGAAAAAGACUGGCCAGAUUCCUUUAUUCUGACACAGAGAACUCUGUGCAUGCAUUUCAUUUUUUUUUGUCUCUUUAAUUUUUUUGCUAAUUGAAAUUAACUUUACACGUACCUAUACAUACAUUUUUUUAUUGGUUAAGUUUUUCAUCUAUUUCAUAGCUUAUUUAUUUAUUUUUUUUUACAUUUUUCAGUUGACCAACUUUUAUUGAUCCAUUUGUCUAAUAAGAAAUUUAAUUAUUUUAAGAGCUAGCAGUAAAAAACAAAAAUCAGAAAAAUUGAAAAUUAAUUUGAGCAGAUGAGUCUUGUUGUUUGGUUUCACUUGUAUAAGGAAUUGUACAUUAUAUAUUUUAGAAUUGCCAAAAACACAGACCAGAAUAUAUUUUAUCUAGACUGGACACAAAACCUAUUUAAAUGUUUAUAACAUUUUCUAUUGUGGAAAAACAAAAAAAGACACCAAAUGAUUAUGUAAAGUCACUCAUGUUGAGAAAAAUUAUUUUUUGUCUUCCUUAUUUCAGAAUCAAGCUACAAAUUGUCACCAAUCACAGACCUUUAUAUACAUAGCUUUUUAAAAAUGUAUUUCUAAGAUUUUUUCCAACCAUCAUUGAGUAUGUUCUGAUUAAAUAUUUUUCCCAGGUAGAACAAGUCAGAAUGACUUUGUGCUGUAAUUAAUCUAGGCUAGUCUUAAAGUGUAAAUCUAUACAUCUACACAUAUGCAAAUCCAGACCUCUAUUUUCAGCUUUUAUUGACUUCUACCAUUAAAUUGUACUUUAAAUAUAUAUGUAUAAAUCUGGAUUUUUUUUAGCUGAUUCCUAAAGGGAAAAACAAAUUCAAAGGUGAAGUAAAGUGCUGAACCAAUGAAUGAUGCAUUCAUAUUACAUAUAUAAAGGCAGUACUAAAUAAUACAUUUUUAAUUAGAGAAAAUACUGAAUUAACUAAAACUAAAUAAGGGACCAUCUGAUAGGAUGACUGUCUGGUAGCAGUGCAGUUCCAUGGUCUAGUUUGCUUAGUGAAAGUACUUUAUCUCUCUCAUUAAACAAUUGGUCUCAAGAGCUGCUUUUAUAUUUAAAUUAAGUAUGCAUCCUUAAAUGGGAAAAGGAAGCUUUUAAUUUUGGGAUCUGUCUGUCAAGUUUAGAUUUAAAAAUUACUAUUGGCUUUUUUACUUGGAUAGUAAUGGAGUGGUAACUAAAAUACACAGAAAAAUAAAAGGUUUUUGUUAUUUAUGUAUUUUCAAAUGUAAUAGCUACAAAGGGUAAUUUUUGUUUAAAAAAAAAAA
rnacentral:sRNA from 1 species